AUGGAGCUGCACUCAAUAUGCCAGCAAAUUUGGAAAACUCAGCAGUGGCCUCAGGACUGGAAAAGGUCAGUUUACAUUCCAAUUCCAAAGAAAGGCAAUGCAAAAGAAUGCUCAAACUACUGCACAACUGCUCUCAUCUCACACGCUAGUAAAGUAAUGCUCAAAAUUCUCCAAGCCAGGCUUCAGCAAUACGUGAACCGUGAACUUCCUGAUGUUCAAGCUGGUUUUAGAAAAGGCAGAAGAACCAGAGAUCAGAUUGUCAACAUCCACUGGAUCAUCAAAAAAGCAAGAGAGUUCCCGAAAAACAUCUAUUUCUGUUUUAUUGACUAUGCCAAAGCCUUUGACUGUGUGGAUCACAAUAAACUGUGGAUAAUUCUGAAAGAGAUGGGAAUACCAGACAACCUACCAUGCCUCUUGAGAAAUCUGUAUGCAGGUCAGGAAGCAACAGUUAGAACUGGACAUGGAACAACAGACUGGUUCCAAAUAGGAAAAGGAGUACGUCAAGGCUGUAUGUUGUCACCCUGCUCAUUUAACUUAUAUGCAGAGUACAUCACGAGAAACGCUGGGCUGGAAGAAACACAAGCUGGAAUCAAGAUUGCCGGGAGAAAUAUCAAUAACCUCAGAUAUGCAGAUGACACCACCCUUAUGGCAGAAAGUGAAGAAGAACUAAAAAGCCUCUUGAUGAAAGUGAAAGAAGAGAGUGAAAAAGUUGGCUUAAAGCUCAACAUUCAGAAAACGAAGAUCAUGGCAUCCGGUCCCAUCACUCCAUGGAAAAUAGAUGGAGAAACAGUGGAAACAGUGUCGGACGUCAUUUUUUGGGGCUCCAAAAUCACUGCAGAUGGUGAUUGUGGCCAUGAAAUUAAAAGAUGCUUAUUCCUUGGAAGAAAAGUUAUGACCAACCUAGAUAGCAUAUUCAAAAGCAGAGACAUUACUUUGCUGACUAAGGUGCAUCUAGUCAAGGCUAUGGUUUUUCCAGUGGUCACGUAUGGAUGUGAGAGUUGGACUGUGAAGAAGGCUGAGUGCCGAAGAAUGGAUGCUUUGGAACUGUGGUGUUGGAGAAGACUGUUGAAAGUCUCUUGGACUGCAAGGAGAUCCAACCAGUCCAUUCUGAAGGAGAUCAACCCUGGGAUUUCUUUGGAAGGAAGGAUGUUAAAGAUGAAACUCCAGUAUUUUGGCCACCUCAUGUGA
rnacentral:lncRNA from 1 species